rnacentral:lncRNA from 1 species
CACACGAGCUUUUGGGGAACACCUGAUAUCUAAGUUAUAAUAGUCACUCAUUGGCAUUUACACUAAGGCCUUGUUCUAAAUGAUUUUCCUGAAAUACCAAUUUAAGCCACAAUUCAAGAAUCAUAAAAAACUCUCAUCUAGAGUAAAGCCAGGGACAGCAGGAUGACACACAGAGUUUAAGAAAUUUGCUCUGUAACAGAGUAGUUGGCUGUUGAAGAUCUGGGAUCUUUGCUUCCAAUGCUAAGCUCUUGACAGCUCUUGACACCUCUCCAUUGCAUGGAGUGGUUUCCCGGGGACACACACACAAUUACUUAAUCUUUUAUUUGGGUGACUCCACAGUAUUGCCCCAUCUCCCUCUUCAGUGACCUCCAACUAAUUUCCUACACAUAUUAUCUUGAAACUAAACUGCACUCUCAACCCUUCUUGGAUGUGAUAUGUCCAUCUUUUUGUGGGCUAGGUAGUGUCCCACCAAUCUGCAUGUGGAAUUUCUGCUUCCAUUUUAUAUUAUUAUAACUCUUUACACACAGUUGUAUAGAUGAAGGGAUUUCACUGUGGAAUUACCAUAGAUGGGUAGGUAUAUUGAGCUUUGAUCAUUUCCAUGGUUUCUGUUACCACCAUCAUCCUUUAUUAUUAUUCUUUGUCCACUUUCAGGUCAUCUUUAUUAUUAUUAUUAUUAUUGUUUUUGAACACAUGAGAGGAAACAAGUAAUUCUUGUCUUUCUAUGCCUGGCUUAUCUUGUUUAACAUGAUGUUCUUCAGUUCCAUCCAUUUUCUUGCAAACAACAGGGUUUUGUUCUUCUUAUGGUUGAAUGACCCUCCAUUGUGUGUAUAUAUCACACGUAUUCUUUAUCUGUUCAUCUUUUGACAGGCACCCAGGCUGAUUCCCUGACUCCAUAUCCUAGCUCUUGUGCAUCGUGCCACAUUGAGCAUCGAUGUUCAUGUGUCUCUUUUGUAUGCUGACUUCAUUUUCUUUAAAUAUACACCCAGGAGUGGUGUGGCCAGAUCAUGGGGUAGUU